rnacentral:lncRNA from 1 species
GCGGUUUGCUAAGUGGUCGGUUCCUGGAGCUGCGGUCUUCUGCUAGCCUGAUCCGCAGCUUCAGCCUCCGCCGCCUCCUCAGCCCUCGGCGCCGCCGCCUGACCCGCAGGCCGCCGCGGGCCGCAGAGCCCAUGAGGGCGCGGGCACCGCCGCCGCCUCCGCGGCGUCGCCGUCGUCCCGGAGCGCCCCGAGCUGGCGCGGGCAUGGCCGCGGCAUGAGCGUGGAGCCGCCGCCGGAGCUGGAGGAGAAGGCGGCGUCGGAGCCCGAGGCGGGAGCCAUGCCGGAGAAGCGCGCGGGCGCGCAGGCCGCGGGGAGCACCUGGCUACAAGGCUUUGGCCCACCAAGUGUGUACCAUGCUGCUAUUGUCAUCUUCCUUGAAUUCUUUGCGUGGGGCCUUUUGACAACUCCAAUGUUGACUGUUCUACAUGAAACAUUUUCUCAACACACAUUCCUCAUGAAUGGUCUCAUUCAAGGUGUAAAGGGCCUGCUCUCUUUUUUGAGUGCCCCACUCAUUGGUGCCCUGUCUGAUGUGUGGGGGAGGAAGCCCUUUCUCCUCGGCACUGUAUUCUUUACCUGCUUCCCAAUCCCACUGAUGAGGAUCAGCCCAUGCCGGGUGUGGUGGCGUGCACCUGUAGUCCCAGCUACCUGUGGCAGGAGAAUGGCUUGAACCCAGGAAGCGGAGGUUGCAGUGAGCCAAGAUCACACCAUUGCACUCCAGCCUAGGCAUGGUGAGACUCCAUCUCAAAAAAAAAAAAAAAUUAAAUUGUAUUGAUUUUCUCUUUUCAA